GAAAGGAGCCGAUCUCAUUACUGAGGCCCGGACACAUUAUUUUCUCCAAGGAAUUUCUUCUUUUCAUUAUUUCCCUCCAAAGACAGCAGCCCAGCCAUCCUUGCUAAGUUCCUGAGAUUCCCUCCAGGGUCUGGGCUUUUCUCCAGCACGUGGCUCCCUGCUACCAUCCGAGAAGUCCCUGAUGCUGAGGUCUCUGCUGACUUGCCCCGAAGGAUUGCCGACACACGGACAUUUAUGUCUUCCCCACAGGGAAAAACACCCCAUUAGAAGGCAGAAAUUUGGUUCCCCCAUAGGAUCUUCAGGGAGCUGCAGUGACACCAGAGGAGGGCUACUGGAAAUGGCACCAGGACAUCAUAUUCGUUUUCUAGAUCCCAACAUGGAAGAAUUGGAAAGAGAAAAGCAUUAUAUGCUCAUGGAUGCUAGUGGAGUUUGUUUCCAGCCUGUCGUGUUUCCGGGCCUUGGCUUAGAGACAGAGGUGGCUUCCUUCCUUCCCUGGGGGAGGCUUCAUUCCUGACUCCUGACCUGCCUCUUCUCCUGCCCACAUCCUUCCUUUCUGAGUGAUCCUGACUGGCAAGAAGGGACAGCAGUGAGGAGCCUCUCAGAACGGAGACCAUGGCUCCUGCUUCUCAGCCUGGCUAGCCCACCUGCAGGAAACCUGAUUGUACCCUCAUGGGGCCAUCCUUUCUCUGUCCCCAAAGUACCCAAUACACCUGGGCUUUCUUCAGGAUCCCACUCUUUCCCUCCUCCCUCCUCCCCUCCUCCCCUCUUUUCUUUCUUCCUCCAUCUCUGCCUUUCUCCUUUCUGCCAUACACUGCCUGACCCAUCAGAUGUCAUUGUUUGCUGUUUAGACUGCAGUAGCCACUGAAAGCAGACUCUGCAGGUUGAAGCUUGACCUCCAUCUCUGCUGUACACGGCUUUGGGAAGUUCCUCCGGCGCUCCAGGCUUUCAUUUCAUCGCCUUGAAUGAAGGUUCUUCUGGGGAUGAAAUAAAGUAGUCAUUGGUCGUUGCUCUGUCACGACUGAUAGAUGAGUAAAUCCCAGAGACUUCAGAAACAGAAGCCAGAGGAAACGGCCACCCUGCUGAGCCCUGGAGCUGCUGGCAGGCAGAGCCCUCUCUCUAAGUCACUACCAGACAGGCUGGCAGGAAAAUCUGGAAGAAUACAGAUUUGAUGACAGGGAUGUCCUAGGAGGGAUGUCUCCAAGUCCAACCUCUGCCCUUGGACCUCUCAGGUGCAAAGAAAGCGCAGGUUCUCAGAGCUGUGGUACCCAGCCCUCUGUGAUCCCCACCAUCAGCUGGAUCCAGAAGGGCUCCUCUCUUCAUAGGGAGCCUGAGGCAUUCAUUGCUCUCACUAAGGGCCCAGAAAAGGCAAGCUUUGGUGCUGAGAGCCCCCUAAGCUCCCCACAAACACUGUGAUUGCUAAAAAUUUGCUUCGUUCUGAUUUUGCCUCUCGUUGGCUGAAGGACUGGAUUUUAUACCAGGUCAAUUUCAGACCAUUUGAUAUUGAUAUAUGAAGAUCCCAGGGGAUUACUGAAUGCAUUUCUCAUCCUGCCUAGAUAGUAUCAUAGAAGGAAAAUGGGAUUGACUGUUAAGGACAAAUUGAGAAAGACAUGGCCAUUUAAGAUAACUCCUUAUCUGUAUACAAGCAAAUGGUAUCUGGGAAAUAGACCACCAGUUGACAGCAAGAAAUUCUACUCCGGGCUCUUCACCCACUCUCCCUUCUGCCGUUAACACUCAGGGAUUAUCCCGUUAUCCUGAGAGCCAUUUCCUGGGGGCCCCUGCUGGAGGACACUAGAGAAGAGGGCUUUUUGAGACUUUAUUCUGAAAGGGUUGGGUGGAAGGGGUCUGGGAUUGUCCAUGGGUACUCUGAGGAGUUUGGGAUGGAAUGGCUAUGAAUGUGACAGAUCUCCCUGGUACUUGGAGAACGGUUCUCUCAGGUGAUUGUGCGGCUUGACAGAUGGAGGAAUGAACUUACCACAUGGUGAGUGGUCUUUGCACUCUCCUCUGUCAAGGGUACCACUGAAUGCUAACGCCUAUGCUAACACUUUCCUGAGUCAUGAGGUUGUGGAAACUUUCUGGAACUCCAAGCUGUCCCCUUGCUGGUUUGACAAACAGCUAUGCAGCUCAAGGUCUUGCUUCCUUGGUGUUGGGGGACGGAUCCCACAGAUCUGUUGAUUGGUCCCAUUGGUGGGUAUGUGUGCUGUGGGUUCUUGAAGGGGUCAGGGGUUGGUGUGGGGGUCUACCACAGUCCUCCAUGAUCAGGUGCAUGUUCCCAUCUCUAUCCUUUAUCCACCCCCUCCCAGCAGGGUGGAUUUCACAGGGAAAGGGGAUUCUGGAGACCAAGAGGAGCCAGGAGACCUGGGGUCUUCAAAGUCAAAGCUCUGGAAGUUUCUGAUGUCAGACCCAUUAUUCCCCAGGUCACGGUCAUAGUUUAUCUUCCCUGUUGCUAUGAUAAAAAAUACCCUGAUGCAAAGC
ensembl:lincRNA C130026L21Rik RIKEN cDNA C130026L21 gene